UUCUGGUUGUUCCUGGGGGGGGCUACUGCUAUUGGGAUUCGAUUAAGCCAUGCAAGUCGAACGAGUUUAGACUCGUGGCGUACGGCUCAGUAACACGUGGAUAACCUACCCUUAGGACUGGGAUAACCCUGGGAAACUGGGGAUAAUACUGGAUAGGCAAUUAUUUCUGUAAUGGUUUUUUGUUUAAAUGUUUUUUUCGCCUAAGGAUGGUUCUGCGGCCGAUUAGGUAGUUGGUUAGGUAAUGGCUUACCAGGCCUUUGAUCGGUACGGGUUGUGAGAGCAAGAGCCCGGAGAUGGAACCUGAGACAAGUUUCCAGGCCCUACGGGGUGCAGCAGGCGCGAAACCUCCGCAAUGUGAGAAAUCGCGACGGGGGGAUCCCAAGUGCCAUUCUUAACGGGAUGGCUUUUCAUUAGUGUAAAGAGCUUUUGGAAUAAGAGCUGGGCAAGACCGGUGCCAGCCGCCGCGGUAACACCGGCAGCUCUAGUGGUAGCAGUUUUUAUUGGGCCUAAAGCGUCCGUAGCCGGUUUAAUAAGUCUCUGGUGAAAUCCUGCAGCUUAACUGUGGGAAUUGCUGGAGAUACUAUUAGACUUGAGAUCGGGAGAGGUUAGAGGUACUCCCAGGGUAGAGGUGAAAUUCUGUAAUCCUGGGAGGACCGCCUGUUGCGAAGGCGUCUGACUGGAACGAUUCUGACGGUGAGGGACGAAAGCUAGGGGCGCGAACCGGAUUAGAUACCCGGGUAGUCCUAGCUGUAAACGAUGCGGACUUGGUGUUGGGGNUGGCUUUUGAGCUGUCCCAGUGCCGAAGGGAAGCUGUUAAGUCCGCCGCCUGGGAAGUACGGUCGCAAGACUGAAACUUAAAGGAAUUGGCCGGGGAGCACCACAACGCGUGGAGCCUGCGGUUUAAUUGGAUUCACCGCCGGACAUCUCACCCAGAGGCGACAGGGUUUUGAUAGCCAGGUUGAUGACUUUGCUUGACUUGCUUAGAGGAGGUGCAUGGCCGCCGUCAGCUCGUUAACCGUGGGGGGUCCUGUUAAGUCCGGCAACGAGCGAGA
rnacentral:rRNA from 1 species